CCUACGGGAGGCAGCAGUGAGGAAUAUUGGUCAAUGGCCGAGAGGCUGAACCAGCCAAGUCGCGUGAGGGAAGACGGCCCUACGGGUUGUAAACCUCUUUUGUCGGGGAGCAAAGCGAACCACGUGUGGUUCAUUGAGAGUACCCGAAGAAAAAGCAUCGGCUAACUCCGUGCCAGCAGCCGCGGUAAUACGGAGGAUGCGAGCGUUAUCCGGAUUUAUUGGGUUUAAAGGGUGCGCAGGCGGGGGUGCAAGUCAGCGGUCAAAUUGCGGGGCUCAACCCCGUACUGCCGUUGAAACUGCAUCCCUUGAGUGCGCGAGAAGUAUGGGGAAGGCGGGGGGUAGCGGGGAAAUGCAUAGAUAUCACGCAGAACUCCGAUUGCGAAGGCAGCAUACCGGCGCGCAACGGACGCUCAUGCACGAAAGCGUGGGUAUCGAACAGGAUUAAUACCCGAGUAGUC
rnacentral:rRNA from 1 species